GGUGGAGCUAUGGACAGACCUAGGUGUAUCCCUCACUGUGGGGGAGAAGCAAGUAGGCUGAAUGUCAGCAGCCUUACUGAGUAGGCCGUGGGACCCAGGUCCAAGGUCACCACAACUUGCCUGUGUAUGAGGUAAGAGGUAAAUGUACACAUGCACCAGUUACGUAAGCUUUAUGAAUAAAGAAAGUAAAGGUACGCAUGCGCUAGUAGCGUUAUGUAAGUAGUCUGAACAAAGAAAUGAAUAAUGCACAUGUGUGAGCAGAAUAGAUAAAAGUAGGACAAGUGCGCCACGCGGGCGUGCGCCCUCUUGUUGAACUAGAAUAAGGUGCUGUUUCGCUCCAUGUCAGCUCCUCGCGCAGUUUGUUUCGCAGUAUGGCUGCUCCUUGCACAUUUUUCCAUUUGGGCAGCUCAACUCCUUGAAUUCCUCUUCAGCCCCCCUUGGCUGACCCUGAAGCUAUGGGGUUUUGUUUGUUUGUUUUUGUCUCCAUGACGCAGGAAAUAUCAGGGCCAGAACUGAAGAGAAAUCUCCCAUUCCUGAGGGCUCUAUAGUUGUCAGCCAUGCAGGGGAAAUAACAGAGAAUGGCCGAAGCGAGAUCCCUGUCCCUAAAAGCUCAGAUCCAGUGAAUGUGAGACGUUCCUCUGCUCCGGCCACUCAGAGAUGACAAUAGUUAACUUCAUUUCAAACGUAAAACAAUACUGACCUGUGAAGAAAUUCAGAUACACGUGAAUAGUGCACCUGGCAUUCUCCUUUCCCCACCAACCACAGCUGACCCCUGUUAAAACACUCACGUUCACAUCCUGUCUUUCGCAUGAAGCAUUUUACUGUGGCGAACUGGCAAAUUGUGUGAGCUCCUCCACAAAAAGGUUUAUUAUGUUCAGCAGCAGGUCUCAAAUUCUCCCCGUUCACAGUUGGAGAGUUUGGAGAAGGCACGUCUCAGCCUUCAGAUUCAUGCGCCGCCAUUGAUGGAUAUCACGUGGGAUUUCAUUCCAUAUAAUCACUCGGCCCAGUUACAAGGGAAGAUGGGAACGUAGUUAAUGCGGGUGGGCACAGGCCCACGAAACGAGAGAAUCCGUUCAAGCGGAAAGCUUGUGGUUUCCAGGCAACCGCACCGCCUGCUUCCGGGAUCCGCCAGGCCCAACCAACCAGGUCUCCAGCCAGGAUUCUCUACCUUCCACGGGUGGGCGGGCUCACUUCCUCCCCAGAUACCCUCUCUCGCGAGAUCGGCGGUCACGGUGCGCCUGCGCAGAGAACGCCACUACCUUCGACUCCCAGAAGGCACCGCGCGUGGACGCGGGAGGCGUGGGCAGAGUCCUCGGCCUUCAGCGCUUUCGCUUCUGGGAGUUUAACGCUGAGCGGGUUGUAAGCGCGGGCUCAGGCGCGCGAGCGCAGGAAGUUGACCGGAAGGCCCUCGUCUCCGGAGCCCUGGGUGAGACCGCGGAUAUCCGCAGGGUAGCUGAGUCAGGAAGAAGGAAAUCCAGAGAUGGUGUGAACAAACUUGAAGUUUGAGAAUCGGCUGGUAUCCUCUGCUGAUUUUGAAGAACUGUAAACUCCUGCAGCUGCGUCAGGUACUGGAGACUGAACCCAGGGCCUGGUGCAUUCUGAGCAUGCACUGCACCGCUGGCAUGUUAGCCUCCCCCCAAUGUCAGAUGUAAAAAUCAUCACCGAGACCUGUCAAGGAGCUUACCGCCGAGGACACUCUCACUGCAAUCACAGUUGAAAUGAGGAUUACUUCCCAACCAAGAGAUGAGGUCAUAGAAUCCCCAGCCUUCAUCUCAAGGUUCAGAUGCCCUUUGCCACACCUGUGCAGGUGCCACCCAGGCACCCACUGUCCUGACAGCAAAUGCCAACCUGGACUUACAUCUUCAAAGUCCAAUGUUGUCCAACUGGAGCUGGGAGGAGAACCCUGUGUGCUU